rnacentral:lncRNA from 1 species
AUCAGAUGCUGGGCAGGUGGUGUGUUGCCUCCCUCCAUACCAUGCAUCUCUUCCCUUUGGCUGAUCCUGAGGUGUAUCCCUUAGAAAUAAGCUGGUAAAUAGCACGGACCAUGGAAGCAUCUUUUGGCAGCACCAGAGAACUGAGCAUCUCAAAGCAUGAGUUCUUCUGUUUCUUCUGCGUGGGUUGACCAUGGGCAUCAGGCAUCAGAGAUACAACUCUGGAUCUUGUCCAUCCAUUGCUGGGCACUCUGUCCAUCCUGGGCGCAGAAGUUAUACACACGUUUGCUGGUCUUGAGCUACAAAACCAAAUGACAGUGAACCAGAGAUGAAGGGCAGGGCUGUUUUAUGGAUUUGGGAGUCUACUGCUAAGAUUUCAGCAUGUCCUGUGGCUGAGUUAAUCAGAGUUAUGACAGGAAGGUACCGGGCACACCAUCGCAAUGCUCCAUCAAUGCUAGUAUGUUGUGUUCUUUCCUUCAUAUCAAGUCAACUCAAGCUUGCUCUACUUACCUGGUGUACACAGUCUAAGAACUGUAAGAAGACUGGAGCAAAACCACUCCCCUGACAGUUGAGGGUCAAGCUGCUCCUCUGACUGAAUUUGUGACCAAAAGAGAGCCACUCUUUUUCAACCAACAUCUGGAAGCCUUCAAGUGUCCUAUAAAAGGGAUCACUGAGUAACUGAACCAGGGAUGUCACCUAGGGCAUAAGCAGGAUGGAUUGUCAUUAAUUUUAGUUCUGAAAAAGGCCUAUUACUAAGAUAAAAGCACUUCCUUCUGAUGAUAGCUAAUUCACAAAUUUACCUGGACAGCAAAUUUGUUCACUAACCAUUCCAGGAUGGCCAAUAAAAUUAAUUUUGUAAACUUGCCAGUAAAAACUAAAGCUCAAAUUCAUUUUGGCUACAAGUUUACUUUCAGGGAAUUGAGACUUUAAUCCUUAACUGGCCAGUUUGCUGACAGCAACCUUUUCCUAAGUUAAUCAGAGGCCAGAGGAUCAGUUAAAAUCAAUUCUACUUUUUGGCAGAUGCAGAUUAAUGUCUUAAUGUAGUCUGAACUCACACUUUUCACUCUGGAGUGAGUUAAGGCGGGGCUUAUAGAGAGCCAGGGGAUGGACUGACAAAACCCAGGAAGGAUGGUCCACGCCUCACACUGCUGGUCAAGGGCUCCAUCCGCAAGCCUGCAUGGUAC